rnacentral:rRNA from 1 species
GACGAACGCUGGCGGCGUGCUUAACACAUGCAAGUCGAACGAAGAGCGAUGGAAGCUUGCUUCUAUCAAUCUUAGUGGCGAACGGGUGAGUAACGCGUAAUCAACCUGCCCUUCAGAGGGGGACAACAGUUGGAAACGACUGCUAAUACCGCAUACGAUCUAACCUCGGCAUCGAGGAGAGAUGAAAGGUGGCCUCUAUGUAUAAGCUAUCACUGAAGGAGGGGAUUGCGUCUGAUUAGCUAGUUGGAGGGGUAACGGCCCACCAAGGCGAUGAUCAGUAGCCGGUCUGAGAGGAUGAACGGCCACAUUGGGACUGAGACACGGCCCAGACUCCUACGGGAGGCAGCAGUGGGGAAUCUUCCGCAAUGGACGAAAGUCUGACGGAGCAACGCCGCGUGAGUGAUGACGGCCUUCGGGUUGUAAAGCUCUGUUAAUCGGGACGAAAGGCCUUCUUGCGAAUAGUGAGAAGGAUUGACGGUACCGGAAUAGAAAGCCACGGCUAACUACGUG